GGUGGAAAAACCCUAAUUUUAGGGUUUGAGACGUAUUUAAACCCCAUUAUAGCCUCCCAUUUGGCCUCCUCACUUAUCCUUCACCCCCAGAAAACCCUAGUUCGUCCCUUUUUCCUUGUUGUGUGUGUGUUUGAUCUUUUGGGCUUUUUUUUGUGAAGAAAAGUUGGGAAGAAGAAGAAGAGAAGUGGAAGAAGGAGAACUUGAGCACCUUGAGCUCAAAGAUCUGGGAUCAUUCCUUCAUUUGGCAUUCAAAAGAGGUAUAAAGCUUCCAACUUUCCUCUUGUAAGCUUAGAUCUAGGAGUUUUUGGAAGUUGGGCCUUUUAGGUCCAAAGGAAGGAUCUUUAUCAUGCAACUUCGUUUCUGGAGCUUGGGAUUGCUAUCCUUGAAGCUCAAGUUCCCUCAUCGCAAUAAAGUUUCGAUUUUUGAGGCUUUCAUGAAGCCAUGCAUGAGAUCUAGCCACCUUCUUGGUUAUAAAUGGUUGUUUUUAGAAGUUUAAGCUUAAGGGAGUCUUGUAAGCCAUCAAGUAAGCGACUUUAUGGUUUAAGACGUGGGAUAAGACCUGGAUCUAAGAUUUUAGCUUCUGACCCGGAUUAUUAAGCACUUAAUGAGACUUUGGCUUAACAGGGCUGUAUGUUGGGUGUACAAGGAGGUACGCGCCGCGUACCAGCCAGCAGCCAGUACGAUCAGCGUACCUUGGUGUACGCCCCGCGUACGCUGCCAGUUUGGGCUUCGAGCGUUUGGGCCUCGGUGUGGGCUGAGUUUUGGGACUUAGGGGUUAGGGAGAAUAAUUGGAGGAGGUGAAAGAAGUAUGAUUUCCAUGAGACAUCAUCUUCAUUUAGGAAAGCUUGUUUCAAGAGAUUUGGGAAGAUCAUAAAUGUUUAAACCAGACAUCUUUUGGGAGAUAUUCAAGAUAGUUGAUAUAAAAUCCUUAAUAUGACACCCAAUAUGAAAUAUUAAGGCCAGGACCCAACACAUUAUUUUAUAACUCGGAAGAGGGAUGCCGUAAUCCAAGCUAUAAAAUAUUUGAAGGUAGGUGAAUGACGAUUCACCAAUUUCCACCAUGAAAACGAAAUAAUUAUUAGGUUUUUAAUUGGAUUUGAAACUCCUAGAUCUUUUGAGAUUUAUUGAACUGUUCAAUGGCAUGUUUCAAUCUCGAGUGUGCCCUUCAGGUUUUGUGACUGGGAUGCUGAGGAUCACAAAACAAGGUGUGAAUAACCAUGCAAAUAUACUUGGUACCCUUAAUAUUUACCCCUCAAUCGAUGUGCCGGUUAACCACACACGCUCCAUCGAUACUAUGAUAAACAUUAAGUUACCCUUUUCCUACCUUGUUAAAUACGAGUUAGUGUGUCGGUUAACCACACACGCUCCACUAACCGACUUAAACAAAGUGCAAAGUGUAAUUUCAUGGAUUAGCACCUUAUUCACAUUUUCCUAAGUAACUAAGAUUGGGUAUUUUUAAAUGGUUUAGUUACUUAGUAUUUAUCAUUAAUACUUUUAAUGAAGGGAGAAUUAUAGUCCUUGUCCUACCCGUUCGGCUAACGACCCUCCACCAGUCAAGGAAGCGGUGGGUGAGAGUGGACACCCAUUAAACUGCCAUUUUAUAGGCAGUAACCUUAUACCCCCCUUAUAGACCGGCUUCGUGAAUGAGGCCUACUAACGGUAAGACUGACUUGCUCUUAUAUAUAUAUAUAUAUUAUUAACUUAUAAUAUUAUAAAGUAUAAGGGUUGAAUUUUAACUUUUUAAAAUUCUAAGGGCUUAACUUGGAAUUAAAGUAUUCAUAAGAGAAAACUUUUUCAAAUUCCAAAACUUGAGGGCAAGUUUUGAAACUAUUCAAAACUAAUUAAUUCCAUAACUUAUGAGUUUAAAGUAGUUUUAAUUAAAAACUCUUCGAGUUCCAUAACUUGAGGACAAGUUAUGGAAGACUUUAAACUAAUUAAAAAAAAUUACCUUUUUUUUAUUAUAACUUAUGGAACUAAUUAAGGUUACACUUUUUUAUUUACUUAUUAUUUAAUGAAGAGACUCUUGAACCUCCAUAACUUGAGGACAAGUUAUGGAGUCAUAAAACCAUUUAAUUAGAACUAGACUCUUCAUUUUGUAACAUUUGCCAACUUUUAUGAGUUUUAUGAUUCUUAAAUGUGACUUUUCAUAUAACUUGAGGACAAGUUACAAAAACACACUUUGGAAUCAACUCUUAGAUUAAAAUGGAUUGAAAUCGACUAUUUCGCACAAAUUUUCUAUUAAUCUCAGAACAAGAUAAUUCAAAUCAUCAAUCUUCAAGAAAUUAGCAUGAACAUACAAACUAAUACAAAUCUUAAAAUUAUGACAAUUAUCUUAGAAAUUGGAUUAGCAUCAACAUUACCACAUCAAAAACAAGUUUAUAAGUCCAAAAACAUCUUAGGGUAAUGUUCCUAGUCCAAUUCCAGCCAAAACAAUCGAAUAUAUGCUGUCAGGGGGUCCAACUCGUCGAGUGCACGAACCAACUCGGCGAGUUGGAUGCAUUUUGCCUUGGACUCGGCGAGUCUGCUGUGCAGACAGCAUCAAAACUCGAUUUUUUCAGCUACUUUUGCAAGUAUAACAAGAAAACAAGCCUAGGCUCUGAUACCACUGUUGGGUUUUGAGCAUUCUAACACUCCUAAGUGUACAUGCAACCCUAAAUACCUUGGAUCUAUGUUUUCUCUAUUAUACAUGCAAUUAUGAACAUCCAAGGUAUUAUCCUAAUCUAGCAUACAAAAUAAUGAAUAUAACAAGAUAGAAUACAUACCUCUUUGAUGUAGAAUGUCUUCAUGAAGCUUGAGUGCCUAGUGCCUCAAGUGUGACACCUCAAAUGGUUCACACAACACCAAAUACACUUGGAAUAACUUGAGAGAAACUUGAACACUCCUAAAAUCGGCUAGCCCUUUCUUAUUAUUCAUAGUGGCCGAUUUUUCCCAAAGAAUAUGAUCUUAUAUAGUUGUUACAAUUAGGGUAAACCCUAAUUGUCAUGGCUUUCCAUUUCCUUGGAUCCAUGGGUUCAAAUACACCAUGGAGCAUCCAUGGACCAUCCUAUGGGUUUUAGCCCAACUUGAUUAUCCAUGGAGCAUUAGCCCACUAUACAAGUAUGGAUGAUUUACACAAUCAACCCAUAUAUUUAAUUAGUCUUCUUUUGAUCACUUAAUUAAUUCUAGAUUAAUUCUUGAUCAAUACUAAUUAAAUAAUCCUAUUAAUAUAUUAGAACUUAUAAUAUAUUAAUCAACCUUAAGUGUUAUUUCUCUCAUUAUAGUCUAUCCAAGUGCAUGAUGCCAUGCAACCCAAAUGGACCAUGUCGGGUCGGGUCAAGUCUUACCAAUUAUAGUUAUGGACUUAGACAUUAAUCCAACAGUAUGUAGUAUAUGUGUCAGUUGAUAUGUUUAUGUUAUGCUAUGCUCAGUCAGUUCUGGACUUCUGUCCAAUGCAGUUAGUUCCGGGGUUAGGUCCGAUGCAGGGGACAAGGUCCCAGUCAGUUCCGGACUUCGGUCCGAUGCAGGGGACAAGGUCCCAGUCAGUCCGGACUUCGGUUCGAUGCAGUUAGUUCCGAACUUUGGUCCCAUGCAGGGGACAAGGUCCCAGUCAGUUCCGGACUUCGGUCCGAUGCAGUUUCCGGACUUCGGUCUGAUGCAAAGGGCAAGACCCUGGUUAGUUCCGGAUUUCGGUCCGAUGUAGUGGGCAAGGACCAAUAUGUGUUAUAUGUUAUUGUAUGGUAUGUGGUAGUUUGGAGGAGCUCACUAAGCUUCAUGCUUAAAGUUUCAGUUUUGGUUUCAGGUACUUUCGCAAUUAAAGGGAAGAGCUUGGGAUGAUGGCAUCGCGCACACCACAGCUUCAGUUUGUCCUGGGAGUUGAUUUAGCUUUUCAUUGAUAUGUUUUGAUUCAGUCUUGAUACAGUUUUCUUGUGAUUAUGUGUUAUGGUUUUGAGAUAUUGACGUAUGGGUUUUAUUUUAUGGUAUUGAAAUAAUGAUUUUAGUAAUGAUUAGACAAAAAAUUUUGGGUCGUAUUUUGGGAUGUUACAAGUUGGUAUCAGAGCCUUGGUUUGAGGGAUUCGGAUACACUUUCGGGUGUGUCUGAACUCAAACUAAGGAAACGGUAAAAGAUUUUCAAAGGAAAAACAUUUUCGAAAAAGGAACUUUUUAAAAGAACUUAGAAAGAAAAAUAGUUUUGAUAAAGAGUAAAAGGUGUGGUGCGUGUGAUCAGCCGAGCUCUAGUAAGUACUCCCAAAUUACUCAUACAAGUUUAUGUUAUGAUUAUCAGUUUCAGUUUCAGUAGAACAGCAUGCUAGAAUAGGACUAAGGAUCUAGGAGGAUGCCUUAUGUGCCUGCUAUAUGUGUUUCAGCUUUAUGAGAACUGCAUGCUAGUAUUGAGUAGACAACAGUAGGAUAGCCUGUUUAGGUUAUGCCUGAUAGUAUGAGCUUAGCAUUGUAUGCUAGUACAGUUUAUCGUUAUGAGGAUAGAAUUGCUUGAGUGGUUUCAUGUGUCCGAAUGCUGCUUGCUUUGUUCUUUGUGGGACUCUAAGUGAUGGGAGUUAGCCAUUAUGUGAAUACGUCACAUCACAUGUGAGCAGGGUUGAAUAAUCUCAGAGUGCUGGAUUUGGCCCUAUUGUGCAGCUCUUAUCUGAGUCCAACCAUUGUAGGGACGAGUCUUUUACUCGAAGGAUUAUCUGAGCCUCAUCACAUGUGAUGGUAUUCAGGUGAUGACUAAUUGGCAUUACAAGGAGGCCUUCAGCAACUGAGGAUUGGAUUGGGUAGAGUUAGAGAUUUCCCUAUGGCAAGCCUAGGAUGAGAGUAGCAGAUAUCAGUAGCAGUAUAAGUGACUUGGUGGAGUCGAGGCAGUACUUGAGGAAAGUACGGAUAGAUGUGGAAGGUAGUAUGGGCCCGUACUACUAAAAGUAGAGGAUCCGUACUUGAACCAAGGAAAGCUGAGAUGAGACCAGGAAACUUGUGGUAGUAGUGAUCCCUCGAAAUAUAUCAGUGUUUCUGACGUUUGUUGUGAUGUGUUUUCAGAAUGGUGGUUUUGCGCCUUAGACCAGUAGUCGGCAGUUCAGGUGCCGGAGAGGGAUCAGGACCAGGCUCGGAGGCCGGGCAGUUGGACGAGCAGAUUAGGGAGUUUCUCUCUUCAGAGAUUACUCGCAUCAUACUUGAGCAGACUCCUGUGAUCUUUGGUUUGAUCAAGGAGGGUAUACUAGAGUUGAUGGAGGAGAGACUAGGCACAUUUCGUGCUGAGGUGGCGGCCAUGAUGGGGUUACACACACUUACGUUUAGGGAGUUCCGGGCAUGCGGAGCUCUGGAUUAUCACGGGGCGCGGGGCCCCAUAGCGAGUACUAGAUGGUUGACGGAUGUGGCCAACUCUUUCCGCACGAGCAGAUGUCCCGAGGGGGACAAGGUUAGAUUGACGUCCUGUCUUCUGAAGGACAGGGCACAAGAUUGGUGGGAGGAGGUUAUGUCAUUGGAGAUGACGCAAAUUUGGAUGCUAUGACAUGGGAUGACUUUACUACCAGGUUCAGGGCUGAGUUUGCACGGGUUAUUGAGGUGCAACAGUUGGCCAGAAAGUUUCAGGACCUCACCCAGACGACAGAGACAGUGGUGGAGAUCACCGCCAAGUUCAGGGAGAGGGCACUUCUCGUUCCUUAGUACGCAGCUGAUGAGGAAAUGAAGAAGGAUCAGUAUCAUGAGAUGAUGCGGAGUAAUAUCCGCCAGUUUGUGAGCCGGUCCAGCUAUAAAACGCUGGAUGACAUGAUUGCUAGGGCUCAAGAGAGAGAGAGAGAGAGAUUGACCUUGAGAUGGAGAGAAAGAGGAAGUCGGAGGUGGCUCCAGGUUUAGGGAGUUCGGGCAAAAAGCCCAAGGGUUCAUAUCACAGAGCUAGGAGUCAGCAGAGCCACGGUCGGUGUGGCAAGUGUGGGAGAUUGCACGAUGGGGCGUGAAAGGCAGGGAGUGUCAUCUGCUACAAGUGCGGCCGGACUGGGCAUAUGAGCAGAGAUUGUACAGCCACUACUACCACCAUUGCGGCAUUAGAUCUGAUUUGCUUCCAGUGCAAUCAGAGGGGGCAUAAAAAGUCCCAGUGUCCGAGUUUAGCUGCUGCGGGGAAGGUGUCAGCACCUGCUCCUGCUACUUUGAGGAUUACAGAUGGCCGUCAGGGACGAGUUGAGUUGCCGGUGGCGAAGAGUAGGGCUUUUCAGCUGACAACAGAGGAGGCGCGAUCAAAUCCUGACGUGGUGACGGGUAUGUAUUUUUCCCUUAUCUCUGCACUUAUUAUUGAUUGUUUCUUAUGGUUAUAUGUUUUGUAUAGGGUCGUUCUCAGUGAACUGCAUUUCCGCCACAUUAUUGUUUGAUUCGGGGGCUACCCGAUCAUUCGUUUCUCUUGCGCUUAGCAAGAGGUUUAGGAGAGCUCCAGGAGAGCUAGAUUGUCUACUUGAGGUUAAGAUAGCAGCUGACAGGACCAUUAGGGUGGCGAGGGUACACAGAGGAUGUUCUCUACAGUUAUUCGAUGAGCAGUUUCCGGUGGAAUUGAUCCCUAUUCCCCUGCGAGGGAAUAAGGUCAUAGUAGGCAUGGAUUGGUUGAGCCCCAACGGGACGGUGAUAGAUUGUGAGCUACAGUUGGUGAGGGUUCGCACUCCUAGUGGGGGAGAGUUAGUGAUUCAGGGCGAGAAGCCACAGUGUGGACCAGUUCUAUGUUCAGCAGUGAGAGCGAGGCGCUAUUUCCAACAGGGUUUCGCCAGUUAUAUUGCCUAUGUUUUAGAUGCCCGAGAGAAGGGAAAGAUGACGGUUGACGAUGUUCCUGUAGUGCGAGACUACCCGAAUGUAUUUCCAGAGGAUUUGCUUGGAAUACCUCCCGAGAGACAGGUUGAGUUCAGGAUUGACCUGAUCCCUGGUGCGGCUCCGAUUGCUAAGGCACCGUAUCGGUUGGCUCCCCCAGAGAUGCAGGAGUUGUCUACGCAGCUGCAUGAGCUGCUAGACAAGGGUUUUAUCAGGCCGAGCAGUUCGCCCUGGGGAGUACCGAUUUUGUUCGUGAAGAAGAAGGACAGGUCGCACCGUAUGUGUAUUGAUUAUCGGGAGUUGAAUAAGGUAACGGUGAAGAACCGUUACCCACUCCCAACGAUAGAUGAUUUGUUUGAUCAGCUGCAGGGAGCGUCUUGGUUUUCCAAGAUCGAUUUACGCUCCGGGUAUCAUCAAAUGCGACUCAGGGAUGAGGAUGUGCAGAAGACUGCUUUCAGGACCCGGUACAGUCAUUAUGAGUUCGUGGUGAUGCCGUUUGGGCUCACCAACGCUCCAGCCGCGUUCAUGGAUCUCAUGAACCACUUAAGUAGGCUGUUGUUGGAUCGAUCGGUGAUAGUAUUCAUUGAUGGCAUCUUGGUUUAUUCCAAGACUCAGGACCAGCACGAGGAGCACCUGAGGGAGGUGCUAGAGAUUUUGAGGAGGGAGAGACUUUUCGCGAAGUUCUCCAAAUGCGAGUUCUGGUUGCGCGAGGUGCAGUUCCUUGGACACCUCGUCAACCAGAAGGGUAUUUUGGUAGAUCCGGCCAAGAUAGAGGCCGUGAUGCAGUGGGAAGUCCCGAGAUCUCCAUCUGAGAUUAGGAGCUUCCUAGGUUUAGCAGGGUACUACAGGAGAUUCAUCCAGGAUUUCUCCAAGAUAGCUGUACUGCUCACCCGACUAACUAAGAAGUCAGUGGUGUUUCGCUGGGGGCCUGAGCAGCAGGCAGCAUUUGAGACCCUCAGGCAGAGAUUGUGCGAGGCACGGAUUCUUACCCUACCAGAGGGAGUAGAGGAUUUUGUAGUCUACUGUGAUGCUUCGAUCGCAGGUAUGGGAGCAGUGUUGAUGCAACGAGGCCGUGUGAUAGCUUACGCCUCGAGACAGUUGAAGCCUCACGAGGCUAACUAUCCUACGCAUGAUUUAGAGUUGGGGGCAGUGGUGUUUACCCUCAAUAUUUGGCGACAUUACCUCUAUGGGGUCCGUUGUACCAUUCACACGGAUCACAAGAGCUUGAGGUACCUCAUGGAUCAGCCGAAUCUGAACAUGAGGCAGAGGCGAUGGUUAUAUAUGUUAAAGGAUUAUGAUUCUGAGAUCCUUUAUCACCCAGGGAAGGCCAACGUAGUGGCCGAUGCCCUGAUCCGCAAGGCCGCAGCGGCCCCGAUCAGGGACAUAUGUUUGAGGAUGACAGUAAUUACCCCGUUGUUAGAGCAGAUCAAAGGGGCUCAGGUCGAGGGCCUCAAGGAGGAGAGGCAGAAGUGUUGGAGGAUUAUGGGCCGAGUAGCUUCCUUCGACUAUGAUAGUCGAGGAUUAUUGACCCUUCAUGGGAGAGUUUGGGUACCUUACUGGGGCGGUGUGUGGCAGGUAUUGAUGGAUGAGGCCCAUAAGUCUUGAUUUUCCAUCCAUCCAGGGGCGACGAAGAUGUAUAGAGAUAUUCGACCCUAUUAUUGGUGGCCCUGCAUGAAGCGGGAUGUCGCUUGGUAUGUGGAGAAGUGCCUGACCUACAGGAAGGUCAAGGCAGAGCACUAGAGGCCUCACGGAAAGAUGCAGUCGUUAGACAUUCCAGUGUGGAAAUGGGAAGACAUCACCAUGGAUUUCAUCACUAAGCUUCCCAGGACUGGACAUGGAGUGGAUUCGAUUUGGGUUAUUGUGGAUCGAUUGAUGAAGAGUGCUCAUUUUAUACUGAUCCACGAGAGCAUAUCGGCAGAGAAGCUAGCCGAUAUUUAUGUGCGAGAGGUUGUGGCACGGCAUGGAGUGCCUGUUUCGGUGGUGUCAGACCGAGACGUCCGUUUUACUUCCAGAUUCUGGAAGCGGUUUCACGACGAGAUGGAAACUCGUCUCCAUUUCAGCACCGCGUUGCACCCCCAGAUGGUCGGGCAGAGCGAGAGGACGAUUCAAACUCUCGAGGAUAUGCUCCGAGCAUGUGUUUUAGAUUUCGGUGGCAGUUGGGAUACAUAUCUUCCGUUAGCGGAGUUUUCGUAUAACAACAAUUACCAAGCGAGUAUUGAUCGUCCUCCUUUCUAGAUGCUCUGCGGGAGGAAGUUCAGGAUCCCGAUUUGUUGGGGCGAGGUCGGUCAGCGGGUCAUUAGGAGCACCGAGGUGGUGCUCAAGACGACAGAGUUGAUCCAGCAGGUCCGUAGUAGACUGCAGACUGCGCAGAGGCGGCAGAAAAGUUACGCCGACAGGAGGCGUUCAGACUUGGAGUUUCAGGUAGGUGACAUGGUCCUCUUGAAGGUAUCACCCUGGAAGGGUGUCAUCAGGUUUUGGAAGAAGGGCAAGCUGGGCCCUGGGUUCAUCGGUCCUUUUAGGGUUUUGGCCCGGGUGGGUCGUGUGGCUUACUGGUUGGAUCUUCCGGCCGAACUCAGGCAGAUCCACAACACCUUCCAUGUGUCCCAGUUAUGGAAGUGUUUAGUGUACGAGUCAGCAGUUGUACCCUUGGAAGACAUUCAGGUUAAUAGCAGCCUGAAUUACAUUGAGAGACCAGUCGCGAUUUUGGAUUGAAAGACAAAGACCUUGAGGAACAAGGUAGUUCAGCUAGUGAAGGUGCAGUGGCAGCACCAGAAGGGUUCAGAGUGGACGUGGGAAUCCGAGGAGGAGGUGUUUGAGCAUUAUCCGGAAUUGUUUUAAGAUUCAGUGGCAGCGGACUUCGAGGACGAAGUUUGAUUCAAGUUGGGGAGAUUUGUAGCAAUCGUCUUCUAAGGUAUUAAUUAAUUUAAUGUUAGUGGGCUUUGAUUGGUAAUUUGUCACCUUGGAUUGGAGUGGACCUUCAUGAUUUUAGGCCGAGAUGUAAGCUGCCCAUAAGCCGUACGUGGGGCGUAACUCGUCGUACGCGGGGCGUAGUGUCUUUAGUUUGCGCGGGUUGUGAGAGGCGUACGCACAGCGUACCUAGAGGUACGCCCAGCAUACGCGACCAAAUGGCAAAACCCUAAUUUUAGGGUUUGAGACGUAUUUAAACCCCAUUAUAGCCUCCCAUUUGGCCUCCUCACUUAUCCUUCACCCCCAGAAAACCCUAGUUCGUCCCUUUUUCCUUGUUGUGUGUGUGUUUGAUCUUUUGGGCUUUUUUUUUUGAAGAAAAGUUGGGAAGAAGAAGAAGAGAAGUGGAAGAAGGAGAACUUGAGCACCUUGAGCUCAAAGAUCUGGGAUCAUUCCUUCAUUUGGCAUUCAAAAGAGGUAUAAAGCUUCCAACUUUCCUCUUGUAAGCUUAGAUCUAGGAGUUUUUGGAAGUUAGACCUUUUAGGUCCAAUGGAAGGAUCUUUAUCAUGCAACUUCGUUUCUGGAGCUUGGGAUUGCUAUCCUUGAAGCUCAAGUGCCCCCAUAGCAAUAAAGUUUCGAUUUUUGAGGCUUUCAUGAAGCCAUGCAUGAGAUCUAGCGACCUUCUUGGUUAUAAAUGGUUGUUUUUAGAAGUUUGAGCUUAAGGGAGUCUUGUAAGCCAUCAAGUAAGCAACUUUAUGGUUUAAGACAUGGGAUAAGACCUGGAUCUAAGAUUUUAGCUUCUGACCUGGAUUAUUAAGCACUUAAUGAGACUUUGGCUUAACAGGGUUGUACGCUGGGCGUAUAAGGAGGUACGCGUCGCGUAC
rnacentral:lncRNA from 1 species